ACUACGUGCCAGCAGCCGCGGUAAUACGUAGGGGGCAAGCGUUAUCCGGAUUUACUGGGUGUAAAGGGAGCGUAGACGGUGUGGCAAGUCUGAUGUGAAAGGCAUGGGCUCAACCUGUGGACUGCAUUGGAAACUGGUCAUAUUGGAGUGCCGGGGGGGUAAGCGGAAUUUCCUAGUGUGGCGGUGAAAUGCGUAGUAUUAGGAAGGAACACCAGUGGGCGAGGGCCGCUUACUGGACGGUAACUGAGGUUGAGGCUGGAAAGCGUGGGGAGCAAACAGGAUUAGAUACCCGGUAGUCCACGCGGUAAAACGAUGACUACUAGGUGUCGGGUGGCAAAGCCAUUCGGUGCCGCAGCAAACGCAAUAAGUAAUCCACUUGGGGAGUACGGCCGCAAGGUUGAAACUCAAAGGAAUUGACGGGGGCCCGCACAAGCAGUGGAGUAUGUGGUUUAAUUCGAAGCAACGCGAAGAACCUUACCAGGUCUUGACAUCCUACUAACGAGAUAGAGAUAUGUUAGGUGCCCUUCGGGGAAAGUAGAGACAGGUGGUGCAUGGUUGUCGUCAGCUCGUGUCGUGAGAUGUUGGGUUAAGUCCCGCAACGAGCGCAACCCUUGCUAUUAGUUGCUACGCAAGAGCACUCUAAUAGGACUGCCGUUGACAAAACGGAGGAAGGUGGGGACGACGUCAAAUCAUCAUGCCCCUUAUGACCUGGGCUACACACGUACUACAAUGGACAUUAACAGAGGGAAGCAAUACAGUGAUGUGGAGCAAACCCCUAAAAAUGUUCUCAGUUCAGAUUGCAGGCUGCAACCCGCCUGUAUGAAGAUGGAAUUGCUAGUAAUCGCAGAUCAGCAUGCUGCGGUGAAUACGUUCCCGGGCCUUGCACUCACCGCCCGUCA
rnacentral:rRNA from 1 species